rnacentral:rRNA from 1 species
UACAGAGGUCCCGAGCGUUGUUCGGAUUCAUUGGGCGUAAAGGGUGCGUAGGUGGCGCCGUAAGUGGGGUGUGAAAUCCCGGGGCUUAACCCCGGGACUGCAUUCCAUACUGCGGUGCUUGAGGACUGGGGAGGAGACUGGAAUUUACGGUGUAGCAGUGAAAUGCGUAGAGAUCGUAAGGAAGACCAGUGGCGAAGGCGGGUCUCUGGACAGUUCCUGACACUGAGGCACGAAGGCCAGGGGAGCAAACGGG